rnacentral:rRNA from 1 species
UUGCCCUAGUAACGGCGAGUGAAGCGGCAACAGCUCAAAUUUGAAAUCUGGCUCUUUUAGAGUCCGAGUUGUAAUUUGCAGAGGGCGCUUUGGCUUUGGCAGCGGUCCAAGUUCCUUGGAACAGGACGUCACAGAGGGUGAGAAUCCCGUACGUGGUCGCUGGCUAUUGCCGUGUAAAGCCCCUUCGACGAGUCGAGUUGUUUGGGAAUGCAGCUCUAAAUGGGAGGUACAUUUCUUCUAAAGCUAAAUAUUGGCCAGAGACCGAUAGCGCACAAGUAGAGUGAUCGAAAGAUGAAAAGCACUUUGGAAAGAGAGUCAAACAGCACGUGAAAUUGUUGAAAGGGAAGCGCUUGCAGCCAGACUUGCUUACAGUUGCUCAUCCGGGUUUUUACCCGGUGCACUCUUCUGUAGGCAGGCCAGCAUCAGUUUGGGCGGUAGGAUAAAGGUCUCUGUCACGUACCUCCUUUCGGGGAGGCCUUAUAGGGGAGACGACAUACUACCAGCCUGGACUGAGGUCCGCGCAUCUGCUAGGAUGCUGGCGUAAUGGCUGUAAGCGGCCCGUCUUGAAACACGGACCAAGGAGUCUAACAUCUAUGCGAGUGUUUGGGUGUCAAGCCCGAGCGCGUAAUGAAAGUGAACGGAGGUGGGAACCCGCAAGGGUGCACCAUCGACCGAUCCUGAUGUCUUCGGAAGGAUUUGAGUAAGAGCAUGGCUGUUGGGACCCGAAAGAUGGUGAACUAUGCUUGAAUAGGGUGAAGCCAGAGGAAACUCUGGUGGAGGCUCGCAGCGGUUCUGACGUGCAAAUCGAUCGUCAAAUUUGGGCAUAGGGGCGAAAGACUAAUCCG